UACGUAGGGGGCAAGCGUUGUCCGGAUUUACUGGGCGUAAAGAGCGUGUAGGCGGCCAGGCAGGUCUGUUGUGAAAACUGGAGGCUCAACUUCCAGACGUCGACAGAAACCGCUUGGCUAGAGUCCGGAAGAGGAGAGUGGAAUUCCUGGUGUAGCGGUGAAAUGCGCAGAUAUCAGGAAGAACACCGAUGGCGAAGGCAGCUCUCUGGGACGGUACUGACGCUGAGGUGCGAAAGCGUGGGGAGCAAACAGG
rnacentral:rRNA from 1 species